rnacentral:rRNA from 1 species
UACGUAGGCAGCAAGCGUUGUUCGGAAUUACUGGGCGUAAAGAGUGUGUAGGCGGUGCUCCAAGUCUGUUGUGAAAUCUCCCGGACUUCACUGGGAGGGUGCGGCGGAAACUGCCGUGCUUGAGUGUGGGAGAGGUGAGUGGAAUUCCCGGGUGUAGCGGUGAAAUGCGUAGAUAUCGGGAGGACACCUGUGGCGAAAGCGGCUCACUGGACCACAACUGACGCUGAGGCGCGA